UAGCGCCUCGGCCUUGUAAAACCCCCUACCCGCCCCCAUAAUUCAAAGCAUGGUUGUAAUUCCGGCAAUCUGGAGGCGUUCUGGACAGGGGUUCGAUUCCCCUCACCUCCACCCAAGGGCAUUGGCGACAGUGUGUUUGGAUGGGGGUGCACUGGCUUCGACAGGGCGGGCAAAGGUGCGCAGGCAACUCGUCAGGCGAGCAAUUCGCUAUUGCCGCCUAAAAACGGUUAGCCGGGGCUGCUAGAGCCUUGUUACCAAAGAUAGCCGGCGGGGACUUCGGUCCCCGUCGUCA
rnacentral:tmRNA from 1 species